ACCACCAGAAGUAGCAGCAGUGCAGCUGGCAGCCGCACGUACGAACCAGUGGACUAUGGACGCGCAGGACUCCGCUCUACUGUGGAUGAAAACUGCUACCAGCGCAUCAUGCGGUGGUCACUUUACCUACAAGGGUUCGAAAUUCUUUUUAAGAAGGGGUGUGCUAACAUUCUGGCGGACUCUGUCGCGCACACGUCAAUAAGGCUCCUGAUGGCGUGGUCCUUGCCAGUGGAACUGAAUGUGUGAGCCAUGUUGUUAUUUUGAAGGGACAAACUCGCCAUGCAAAUGUCAUCCACCACGCCAAUACUUUUGUAUAAUUCCACUGUGGGUUUCUACAGUAAUGGCCCAUGAUCAAAUAGACCAGUUGUUAUAAUUGCUGGCCAGCACAUUAUGUGUUUUCUCAACAUUACACAGCGCGCCCCAAAAUUCCUAAAGUGAAACUGUGUCGCCGUCUUUUUAAAAAGGUGUUCUUGUUUGUUGUGAAUUAUUAUACAAAUGUAGCAAAGAAUGCCAUCUGGUCAGAAAAAGAAACCCUCUUGAUUUAAUAAAGAUGGGAUUAUCACUGAUUCACAUUGUGCUCAACAUUUUUAGUUUAUAGCUAUACUUAUAUAUAAGCUAAUUUUCAUUCAGAGGGGUUUUCUGCAUACUAGUUGAUCAAUGGGCAUUUGUUAGCUGACAGUGACACCUACUGAUGAGUUGAUUCCUUUUGGACCGAAGAUGACGGAGAUCCCCACACA